AUGUUCACUGUUAUAUUCAUGUGUCUGUGGCUUUCACUCGGUGACUCCAUGGCAGAUUCAAUAAAGCCACUUUUCACUCAAACAGUUAUAGAUGAAGGCAGUGAUGUUACUCUGUCCUGCAACUAUCAACCAACUAGUACUACAUCACCCGACCUGCAGUGGUACAGACAAUAUCCAAAAUCUCAACCUGACUUCCUUCUUUAUAUAUCAGAAAGUGGAUAUAAAAGUGACUCAAUCCCACCACGUCUCUCUGCUGAAGUUCAUGAAAAGAAGAAACAAGUGGAUCUGCUCAUCUCCUCUGCUGCUGUAUCAGACUCUGCACUAUACUACUGUGCUCUG